rnacentral:misc_RNA from 1 species
UCCGGUUUAUCACCGGCAGUCUCCAUAGAGUUCUCGGCUUUACCCGUUAGUAACUAUGAACAAGGGUUGCGCUCGUUGCGGGACUUAACCCAACAUCUCACGACACGAGCUGACGACGGCCAUGCAGCACCUGUGUUCCAGCCAGCCGAACUGAAGGACCCUGUCUCCAAGGCCCAUACUGGACAUGUCAAAGGUUGGUAAGGUUCUGCGCGUUGCUUCGAAUUAAACCACAUGCUCCACCGCUUGUGCGGGCCCCCGUCAAUUCCUUUGAGU